UUAUGAGGUGAAUCCCUCUCUUUACA
rnacentral:tRNA from 1 species